ACGUAUUUAUGCUAUCAUUACAUACAAUUCCCAAUAAGUUAGCUAAUCUUGUAUUGUUUAGGAAAUUACUCGUGUUUUAUUGUUGUAGGUUUAGGAAUGAUGAACAAAGGAGAAAAAAAGAGAAGAAUGAGUUUCUGAACAGCACAGGCCUCGCCCAAGCGAAGGAAUGAUCGCUCAAGCCAUAAUUCAGAAGAAAAUCACCACAAAGUACUAACACCCCUCGCUCAAGCGAAUAAAUGGUUGCUCAAGCCAUAAUUUAGAAGAAAAUUACCAGAAAAUACUAACAACCCUCGCCCAAGCGAGGAAAUGACUUUUCCUCUCGCUCAAGCGAUAAUCCUUAGCUUGAGCGAGAGAGUGGCAAUUGGAACUUGAUAUAGGCAACUUUGGGCAGCAAAGGG
rnacentral:lncRNA from 1 species